rnacentral:rRNA from 1 species
GCCAGAGAGGGUGAGAGCCCCGUAAGCGAAAUCCAAAGGAGGCCUAUCAGUAUCCUGAGUAGGGCGGGACACGUGAAAUCCCGUUUGAAUCCGCGAGGACCAUCUCGCAAGGCUAAAUACUAACCAGUGACCGAUAGUGAACCAGUACCGUGAGGGAAAGGUGAAAAGAACCCCGGGAGGGGAGUGAAAGAGAACCUGAAACCGUGUGCCUACAAGUAGUCAGAGCCCGUUAACGGGUAAUGGCGUGCCUUUUGUAGAAUGAACCGGCGAGUUGCGUUAGUCAGCAAGGUUAAGUCAGAAAAGACGGAGCCGUAGCGAAAGCGAGUCUGAAGAGGGCGAGCAGUUGGCUGACGCAGACCCGAAACCAAGUGACCUACCCAUGACCAGGUUGAAGGCGCGGUAAAACGCGCUGGAGGACCGAACCCACGUAAGUUGAAAAUUGCGGGGAUGAGUUGUGGGUAGCGGUGAAAUUCCAAACGAACUUGGAGAUAGCUGGUUCUCUCCGAAAUAGCUUUAGGGCUAGCCUCGCAAAGAGGAUGCUGGAGGUAGAGCUCUGUUUGGACUAGGGGCCCGUCAAGGGUUACUGAAUUCAGAUAAACUGCGAAUUCCAGACAUUUAUGUGCGGGAGUCAGACUGCGAGUGAUAAGAUCCGUAGUCGAAAGGGAAACAGCCCAGAUCACCAGUUAAGGUCCCAAAAUUCAUGCUAAGUGGAAAAGGAUGUGGAGUUGCGCAGACAACUAGGACGUUGGCUCAGAAGCAGCCAUCAUUCAAAGAGUGCGUAAUAGCUCACUAGUCGAGUGACGCCGCGCCGAAAAUUUACCGGGGCUAAGCAUGAUACCGAAACUGUGGAUGUGCGUUUAUGCACGUGGUAGGAGAGCGUUCUAGCGGCGGUGAAGCAUGACCGAGAGGACAUGUGGAGCUUCUAGAAGUGAGAAUGCCGGUAUGAGUAACGAAAGACAGGUGAGAAUCCUGUCCGCCGCAAGACUAAGGUUUCCUGGGGCAGGCUCGUCCGCCCAGGGUAAGUCGGGACCUAAGGCGAGGCCGAGAGGCGUAGUCGAUGGACAACAGGUUGAAAUUCCUGUACUGCACCGAAUCGUUAUGAGCGAUGGAGGGACGCAGGAGGCUAGCAGCGCGUGGUGCUGGAUACCACGUUCAAGCGUCAAGUCUGAGAGCGAGUCAAAUGCUUGCUCUCAUAAGGACAAGGCGUGAUGAGGAGCGAAAUUAAAGUAGCGAAGGCUGCGACGUCACACUGCCGAGAAAAGCUUCUAGCCAGAGACGGUGCACCCGUACCGCAAACCGACACAGGUAGUCGAGGAGAGUAUCCUCAGGUGAGCGAGAGAACUCUCGUUAAGGAACUCGGCAAAAUGGCCCCGUAACUUCGGGAGAAGGGGCGCUGGUCGCAAGAUCAGCCGCAGUGAAAAGGCCCAAGCAACUGUUUAUCAAAAACACAGGCAUCUGCAAAAUCGUAAGAUGAAGUAUAGGUGCUGACACCUGCCCGGUGCUGGAAGGUUAAGAGGAGAGCUUAGCGCAAGCGAAGGUUUGAAUUGAAGCCCCAGUAAACGGCGGCCGUAACUAUAACGGUCCUAAGGUAGCGAAAUUCCUUGUCGGGUAAGUUCCGACCUGCACGAAAGGUGUAAUGAUUUGGGCACUGUCUCAACGAGAGACUCGGUGAAAUUAUAAUACCCGUGAAGAUGCGGGUUACCCGCGACAGGACGGAAAGACCCCAUGGAGCUUUACUGCAGUUUAAUAUUGGGUAUCUGUCAAGCAUGUACAGGAUAGGUAGGAGCCGGAGAAGAUAGGACGCCAGUCUUAUCUGAGGCGCUGUUGGGAUACUACCCUUGCUUGACGGAUGCUCUAACUUAGGCCUGUGAUCCAGGCCGAGGACAGUGUUUGACGGGCAGUUUGACUGGGGCGGUCGCCUCCUAAAGUGUAACGGAGGCGCCCAAAGGUUCCCUCAGAAUGGUUGGAAAUCAUUCGCAGAGUGUAAAGGUAAAAGGGAGCUUGACUGCGAGAGAGACAACUCGAGCAGGUACGAAAGUAGGGCUUAGUGAUCUGGUGGUACCGCAUGGAAGGGCCAUCACUCAACGGAUAAAAGCUACCCUGGGGAUAACAGGCUUAUCUCCCCCAAGAGUUCACAUCGACGGGGAGGUUUGGCACCUCGAUGUCGGCUCGUCGCAUCCUGGGGCUGAAGUCGGUCCCAAGGGUUGGGCUGUUCGCCCAUUAAAGCGGCACGCGAGCUGGGUUCAGAACGUCGUGAGACAGUUCGGUCCCUAUCCGUCGUGGGCGCAGGAAAUUUGAGAGGAGCUGUCCUUAGUACGAGAGGACCGGGAUGGACGCACCGCUGGUGUACCAGUUGUCUUGCCAAAGGCAUCGCUGGGUAGCUAUGUGCGGACGGGAUAAGCGCUGAAAGCAUCUAAGUGCGAAGCCCCCCUCAAGAUGAGAUUUCCCAUUUCUUCAAGAAAGUAAGACACCUCAGAGACGAUGAGGUAGAUAGGCCGGGAGUGGAAGAGCCGUGAGGCUUGGAGCGGACCGGUACUAAUCAGUCGAGGACUUGACCAAA